UACGUAGGGGGGCAAGCGUUGUCCGGAUUUAUUGGGCGUAAAGAGCGUGUAGGCGGUUUGGUAGGUCCGUUGUGAAAACUCGAGGCUCAACCUCGAGACGCCGAUGGAAACCAUCAGACUAGAGUCCGGAAGAGGAGAGUGGAAUUCCUGGUGUAGCGGUGAAAUGCGCAGAUAUCAGGAAGAACACCCGUGGCUAAGGCGGCUCUCUAGUACGGUACUGACGCUGAGACGCGAAAGCGUGGGGGAGCGAACAGG
rnacentral:rRNA from 1 species